GUGGGGAAUAUUGGACAAUGGGCGCAAGCCUGAUCCAGCCAUGCCGCGUGAGUGAUGAAGGCCUUAGGGUUGUAAAGCUCUUUCACCGAUGAAGAUAAUGACGGUAGUCGGAGAAGAAGCCCCGGCUAACUUCGUGCCAGCAGCCGCGGUAAUACGAAGGGGGCUAGCGUUGUUCGGAUUUACUGGGCGUAAAGCGCACGUAGGCGGUUUGUUAAGUCAGGGGUGAAAUCCCGGAGCUCAACUCCGGAACUGCCUUUGAUACUGGCAAGCUAGAGUCCGGAAGAGGUAAGUGGAACUCCUAGUGUAGAGGUGGAAUUCGUAGAUAUUAGGAAGAACACCAGUGGCGAAGGCGGCUCACUGGUCCGGUACUGACGCUGAGGUGCGAAAGCGUGGGGAGCAAACAGGAUUAGAAACCCGAGUAGUCC
rnacentral:rRNA from 1 species